GAUGAACGCUGGCGGCGUGCCUAAUACAUGCAAGUCGAGCGAACGGACGAGAAGCUUGCUUCUCUGAUGUUAGCGGCGGACGGGUGAGUAACACGUGGAUAACCUACCUAUAAGACUGGGAUAACUUCGGGAAACCGGAGCUAAUACCGGAUGAUAUUUUGAACCGCAUGGUUCAAAAGUGAAAGACGGUCUUGCUGUCACUUAUAGAUGGAUCCGCGCUGGAUUAGCUAGUUGGUAAGGUAACGGCUUACCAAGGCAACGAUGCAUAGCCGACCUGAGAGGCUGAUCGGCCACACUGGAACUGAGACACGGUCCAGACUCCUACGGGAGGCAGCAGUAGGGAAUCUUCCGCAAUGGGCGAAAGCCUGACGGAGCAACGCCGCGUGAGUGAUGAAGGUCUUCGGAUCGUAAAACUCUGUUAUUAGGGAAGAACAGAUGUGUAAGUAACUGUGCACAUCUUGACGGUACCUAAUCAGAAAGCCACGGCUAACUACGUG
rnacentral:rRNA from 1 species